rnacentral:rRNA from 1 species
GUCUAGCUUUCGAGCAGGCCCUGCGCCUCUAACAUUCAUUGGUCAGGUAAUGGCCUACCAAGAACGAUGAUGUGUAGCUGGACUGAGAGGUGAACAGGCAGCAUGGGACUGAGACACGGCCCAAACUCCUACGGGAGCAAGCAAGUAUAGGGAAAAUCUCGGACAAUGGAGGAAACUCUGACCGAGCAACGCCGCGUGAAUGACGAAGUACUUCGGUAUGUAAAGUUCUUGUUAUCAAGGAAAAAAAGGAAAUGGCGAACCAUUUGUGUGCCGGUACUUGAUGAAUAUGCCCCGGCGUAAUUAUGUGCUCAGCAGGGGGGGGGGAAGAAAAAAAUAGGGGGAAGAAUGUUUGUUCCUGCAAAUUAAUUAGUGGGGGUUAGUAAGGGGGGUGCUGUAGGGCGGUCCUAAUUAAGUCAGUGGGUUGUAAUUGGCAAACGCUUUAACGUUGUCCGGUUAUUGAAAACUGCUAAAACUUGAAUUUAAUAGAGGCGAGUGGAAUCCAUGUGUAGCGUAAAUGCUAAUUUGGAGACACAAAGCUAGCGUCGUGGUUAUGACGCUGAGCAACUGGACACGAUAAACCUGUUCCCAAAAUUAUUGUAACGUUAUACAUUAUCCUUUUAAG